rnacentral:sRNA from 1 species
UAGGAACAGGUAUACCCCGCCGCGGAGCG